ACAAUUACCAGCUGAUCAUUCCAUCUCUCUCUCAACACAUCUGCUAAUCUUAUGCCCUAACUGAAUCUAGAGUUAACAACACCCAUGCUACCAUAAAUCAUCCACGUCACUUUAAAAACCCCAAACCCCAGCUUUACACCAUGCCCCAAACUAACAGUCUUAAUUAUUUCUACUUCAAACAAACAUAUCUCCGGCCUGACGGCUAACCAUUGCCAUAAUCGGAGACCGUCUAGCUAGAAAUACGACUGUCCGGUUAAAAGAAACCCAUCUUCGGCCACCAUUGUUGUCGCCUCACCGGAAAAGGUGCAACGCCGACCGUCUGGUUAAAACCGUCGGAACAAAUCGAUUGAGGUAUGCAUUGUUUUUAGUGGCCUGAUUUGGUGGGUGUUGGUUGUGGUGCGCAUAGGUUUAAGAAAGUUUAGAGAG
rnacentral:lncRNA from 1 species